GCUGGGUGUGGUGGUGCACACCUAUAAUCCCAGCUACUCAGGAGGCUGAGGCAGGAGAAUUGCUUGAACCCAGGAGGCAGAGGUUGCAGUGAGCCAAGAUAGCAUCACUGCAGUCCAGCCUGGGUGACAGAGUGAGAGUCUGUCUCAA
rnacentral:SRP_RNA from 1 species